UUGAGUCCAGAGGAAUCUGAGGAUGUUCUUUUCAAGGAGGCUUGGCUGGCUUAUUUUUGGAGAAGAGCCAAGGCUCAUGGUAUAGAGGAGGACAUCGCCAAAGAACGUCUUCAGUUUUGGAUUGGUCGGUGUGGGCAUUCACCUACUUCACACGAUGCUGUUGAUGUUGAACAAGGGCUUUCGGAGCUGAGGAAAUUGGGGAUUGAACACAGGCUUUGGGAAGGAUCCAGAAAAGAAGUUGAUCAAGAUUUCACUAUUGCAUCAAAAUUGACUACAAAACCUGAAAUUUGUGCUUGAGACAUUUUCCUUGUAUGCAUAUUUAAAUAAUGAAUUUCAUCUUUCUUCCGGAGAUGGUUGUAUUGAAUUUAGACUCUGAUCAAACUCUAGCUCUCGAUUCUCUAGCUACUUUAGAGAACAUUUGUCUGCUUUGAAUGACAUAGAACCUCUGUAAAAAAUCAUGAGUAUUAAUUUUAUUUUGACAAAUAGCAUUAAUCAAAGUUAUUGGAGUAA